UAACUUCGGAAUAAGGAUUGGCUCUGAGGAGCGGGGCGUGUCGGGCUUGGUCGGGAAGCGGGUCUGGCUGACGUGCCGGGCCUGGGCGAGGUGAACGCUCGGCGUUCUCGCGCCGAACACGGGAUCCGAGCUCGGUCCCGUGCCUUGGCCUCCCGCGGAUCUUCCUUGCUGCGAGGCUUCCGUGGCGGCGCGAGCCGUCGCGGUCGUCCUCUUCGGCCGCCAUUCAACGCUCAGCUCAGAACUGGCACGGACUAGGGGAAUCCGACUGUCUAAUUAAAACAAAGCAUUGCGAUGGCCCUCGCGGGUGUUGACGCAAUGUGAUUUCUGCCCAGUGCUCUGAAUGUCAACGUGAAGAAAUUCAAGCAAGCGCGGGUAAACGGCGGGAGUAACUAUGACUCUCUUAAGGGGGUCGUCGAAUCCGGCGACUCCCAUGUGCCAACCCCUCCUCCUCGUGGUGAGAGUCGGUAACGUCGGGAUUUAAUGCCCGACGGCCAACGGGGCUCUGGCUUGGCCGGGCGGUAACGCUCGGCCCGGGUCCGUGGGGUUGCCAGCCCUUCGGGCCUGUUCUUUCGGCAGGCAUGAAAAAUGGAAAAAAUUAUAAUCUCCGGCGGCAGCCUCGGGCCGCCGGUCCUGCCGCACGUUCGUCCCCCUCUCCCGAACCCGUCCCCGGCCCUUCGCGGCGACCCGCUGCAGCACGCCGCCAACCGCCCCCCGCUGCCCAUGCCCCCGCACCUGUCCCAGUUUCCCCGCAGGCCCCCGCCGAUUAUCGGUGUCCCGACUGCGAUCGCGCGUUCACCACUAAAACGGGGCUAGGCGUCCAUCGACGCCGGGCGCACGAGGCCAUCGUGAACGAGGAGAUCAACGUCGAGAGGGUCAAGCGCCAAUGGAGCGCCGAAGAACAGCGCAUGAUGGCGAGGGAGGAGGCACUUGCGACUCAUCGAGGCAUCCGGUUUAUAAACCAACACCUUCUGGAGGUGGUCCCAAAUCGCACCCUUGAAGCCAUCAAGGGCAUGCGCAGGAACCCCCAAUACCGGCGCCUCGUCGCCGCGGCUUUGGAGGAUCUGUCUGCCACAUCGGGCGAGGGUUCCUUCCUCUCCGCUGGCUCCAGUCCUCCGGCCUCCCCUCUCAAUGCCAUCCCCCAGCUUGGGUCACCCGGCUCGCCUCCGCUGACACCUUCAUCCCCCGGCUGGGGCGAGGCGUACGGCAGUUUUGCCGGCGCCAUUCGCGCUCUCAUCCCAGUCGUGGAGGCCAUCCGUGGUUGGGACUCCCGCGUUUUGACACAAAUCAGCGCGGGAGUACUGGAUGGCCAGCGGAGUGUCGACGACAUUGACCCUUGGCUGGCUGGCGCUUUCCCUCCGACGAUUCCUGCAACCAGACCGUCUAGACGGUACGCUGUUGCCAAUCCGGGUAGUAAAGCGCGGCGUCGGGCGGAAUAUGCGCGUAUUCAGCGCCUUUUCCGCUCAAACAUGUCGCGAGCGGCCGGGGAGAUCUUGGACGGUGCCGAGGGGGUGCAGCGGGUUCCCGACGUCCAACAGAUGGCGGCGCAUUGGGGCCCGUUCUUCGCGCAGGAGUCUGCGCCUGUUGCGCCCGCUCCGCGACGCCCACCAAAGCAUGAGCUUCUCGGCACCUGGUCACCGAUCUCCUGCGAGGAGGUGGCAGCCACCAACUUGCCACUCAACUCGGCCCCCGGAUUAGACGGUAUCAGCGUCCGUCUAUGGAGAGCCGUACCAGCUUCCAUCAAGGCUCUCCUUUUCAACACCGUGCUGCAUUGCGGAAGUUUGCCAGCGGCUAUGCUGGUUGGUCGGACGGUCUUCAUUCCGAAGAGGGGCGAAAGCUCCCUCCCGGGUGACUUCCGUCCGAUCUCUAUUACUUCCGUGGUCGUGAGACAUCUUCACAAGAUCCUGGCCCAUAGGCUUCUCGAGUCCAAGUUGGUCGACCUGAGGCAGCGAUGUUUUGACGACGGAUGCGGCGAUAAUGUGGCCGUUCUGGCGUCCUUAUUGAUGGACGCCAGGUCCCGUCGUCACGAAUUCCACGUUGCCUCCUUGGACUUCGCGAAGGCUUUUGAUAGUGUCAGCCAUGGCGCUAUCGCUAACGUCAUGACUGAGCUGGGCUUGCCUCGCGGCCUUACAGAUUACAUCACGCGCACCUAUGCGCGCAGCAGCACGGUGUUUGAAGUGCGCGGUGUCAGGUCGGAGCUCUCCAGUAUCGGCAGAGGCGUCAGGCAGGGGGAUCCGCUAUCGCCAGUACUCUUUUGCCUGGUGGUAGACGCGAUCAUGGCAUCCAUACCUGCCGACGUCGGAUACCAACUGGGAGAGCAUCAUAUAAGCGGCAUCGCGUAUGCCGAUGAUGUUCUCCUCUUUGCUGCCACCAAGUGGGGCCUCCAGGCCAGCAUUGAGGCGGUCGAAGAUACCGCCAGGGGGACGGGGCUUCUCUUUCAAGCCAAGAAGUGCUCUGUUCUUUCCUUUGUGCCUUCCGGUCGGGAUAAGAAGAUCAAAAUGUU